GAAGCAACGCGAAGAACCUUACCAGGUCUUGACAUCCCCCUGACCGCAUCAGAGAUGGUGCUUUCCUUCGGGACAGGGGAGACAGGUGGUGCAUGGUUGUCGUCAGCUCGUGUCGUGAGAUGUUGGGUUAAGUCCCGCAACGAGCGCAACCCUUGAUGUUAGUUGCCAGCAGGUGAGGCUGGGCACUCUAAGAUGACUGCCGGUGACAAACCGGAGGAAGGUGGGGAUGACGUCAAAUCAUCAUGCCCCUUAUGACCUGGGCUACACACGUACUACAAUGGCCGGUACAACGGGAAGCGAAGGAGCGAUCCGGAGCCAAUCCCAGCAAAGCCGGUCUCAGUUCGGAUUGCAGGCUGCAACUCGCCUGCAUGAAGUCGGAAUUGCUAGUAAUCGCGGAUCAGCAUGCCGCGGUGAAUACGUUCCCGGGUCUUGUACACACCGCCCGUCACACCACGAGAGUUUACAACACCCGAAGCCGGUGGGGUAACCUGAAGCGUUUCGCAAGAAACGCACAUCGGAAGCGAUGCUCAGGGGCCAGCCGUCGAAGGUGGGGUAGAUGAUUGGGGUGAAGUCGUA
rnacentral:rRNA from 1 species